rnacentral:rRNA from 1 species
GACGAACGCUGGCGGCGUGCCUAAUACAUGCAAGUCGAACGAACUCUGGUAUUGAUUGGUGCUUGCAUCAUGAUUUACAUUUGAGUGAGUGGCGAACUGGUGAGUAACACGUGGGAAACCUGCCCAGAAGCGGGGGAUAACACCUGGAAACAGAUGCUAAUACCGCAUAACAACUUGGACCGCAUGGUCCGAGCUUGAAAGAUGGCUUCGGCUAUCACUUUUGGAUGGUCCCGCGGCGUAUUAGCUAGAUGGUGGGGUAACGGCUCACCAUGGCAAUGAUACGUAGCCGACCUGAGAGGGUAAUCGGCCACAUUGGGACUGAGACACGGCCCAAACUCCUACGGGAGGCAGCAGUAGGGAAUCUUCCACAAUGGACGAAAGUCUGAUGGAGCAACGCCGCGUGAGUGAAGAAGGGUUUCGGCUCGUAAAACUCUGUUGUUAAAGAAGAACAUAUCUGAGAGUAACUGUUCAGGUAUUGACGGUAUUUAACCAGAAAGCCACGGCUAACUACGUGCCAGCAGCCGCGGUAAUACGUAGGUGGCAAGCGUUGUCCGGAUUUAUUGGGCGUAAAGCGAGCGCAGGCGGUUUUUUAAGUCUGAUGUGAAAGCCUUCGGCUCAACCGAAGAAGUGCAUCGGAAACUGGGAAACUUGAGUGCAGAAGAGGACAGUGGAACUCCAUGUGUAGCGGUGAAAUGCGUAGAUAUAUGGAAGAACACCAGUGGCGAAGGCGGCUGUCUGGUCUGUAACUGACGCUGAGGCUCGAAAGUAUGGGUAGCAAACAGGAUUAGAUACCCUGGUAGUCCAUACCGUAAACGAUGAAUGCUAAGUGUUGGAGGGUUUCCGCCCUUCAGUGCUGCAGCUAACGCAUUAAGCAUUCCGCCUGGGGAGUACGGCCGCAAGGCUGAAACUCAAAGGAAUUGACGGGGGCCCGCACAAGCGGUGGAGCAUGUGGUUUAAUUCGAAGCUACGCGAAGAACCUUACCAGGUCUUGACAUACUAUGCAAAUCUAAGAGAUUAGACGUUCCCUUCGGGGACAUGGAUACAGGUGGUGCAUGGUUGUCGUCAGCUCGUGUCGUGAGAUGUUGGGUUAAGUCCCGCAACGAGCGCAACCCUUAUUAUCAGUUGCCAGCAUUAAGUUGGGCACUCUGGUGAGACUGCCGGUGACAAACCGGAGGAAGGUGGGGAUGACGUCAAAUCAUCAUGCCCCUUAUGACCUGGGCUACACACGUGCUACAAUGGAUGGUACAACGAGUUGCGAACUCGCGAGAGUAAGCUAAUCUCUUAAAGCCAUUCUCAGUUCGGAUUGUAGGCUGCAACUCGCCUACAUGAAGUCGGAAUCGCUAGUAAUCGCGGAUCAGCAUGCCGCGGUGAAUACGUUCCCGGGCCUUGUACACACCGCCCGUCACACCAUGAGAGUUUGUAACACCCAAAGUCGGUGGGGUAACCUUUUAGGAACCAGCCGCCUAAGGUGGGACAGAUGAUUAGGGUGGUAG